UACGUAGGGUGCAAGCGUUGUCCGGAAUUAUUGGGCGUAAAGAGCUCGUAGGCGGUCUGUCGCGUCGGCUGUGAAAACUCGGGGCUCAACCCCGAGCCUGCAGUCGAUACGGGCAGACUAGAGUGCUGUAGGGGAGACUGGAAUUCCUGGUGUAGCGGUGAAAUGCGUAGAUAUCGGAAGGAACGCCGGUGGCGAAAGCGGCGCACUGGAUCUCCACUGACGCUGAGGCGCGAAAGCCAGGGGAGCAAACGGG
rnacentral:rRNA from 1 species